GUCAGGAUGGCCGAGUGGUCUAAGGCGCCAGACUCAAGAACCGAGGUUCUUCGCCGACAUGAGGUGUUGAGUAUUCUGGUCUCCGAAUGGAGGCGUGGGAUCGAAUCCCACUUUUGAAA
rfam:Ciona savignyi cont_24933, whole genome shotgun sequence.